rnacentral:misc_RNA from 1 species
CAACCCCUCAGGCCCUGGUGCCUGGCGUCGGGGCGUUCCCUCGCGGGAAGCCCCCAGAGACAGUGGCGGACCAGUCGCGGCUCCGAGCGCAGUAGUAACAUUCUCGCUUAGGAGGUCUGCGGCGGGCUCCCGGCCGUAAAACCCAGACCCCUCACAGGGCUGACUUCUCAA